CAGUAUUUUUGUUUCUGAACUGAUACAAACGGUGGAUAAUUUGGAGAAUUAGUUCCGUACAUAAAUUCGAUUCCAAGUUGCCAUGUGUUUGUUCAUUAGUGGAUCAUAGAAGACAACAAAACAUGGUUAAGACACUCAGCUAUCUAUGUAGGAAGGCAUUGUUUGAAGCCUCAGAAAUGAAAUGGUGGAUUGUGCAGAGGAAAAUACUGAUCGUGGUAUGUGCUCUUGACUUGUUUGUAUCUAAUGUUUUCUGUCAUCAACUAAUCUUUUCAAUUAAGUGGGUCAGUCAGUUAGGCUCAUAAAUAGAAGAUUUGGGUGCUAGUGCUUGAGUAUAGGAAAAGUCUGCAUGCCAAGCACAAUGGCCCGCG